GCUUCAUUGGUCCAAUGGUUAGGAUUCCACCCUUCCAAAGCCUUCUCGGCUACCGCUAGGUGGAGGUUCGUGUUCGAUUCACGGAUGUUGCA